UGUCGAAUACAUAUAUAGCGCCGUGUUGCACAUUAGAAACCCUAGCUGCACAAACAUACUCCUGUCAUCCCCCCCUCUCAAGUCGACCAACCAUCCGAAAUACCACACCGCUUUCAAGAUCGAUGUUGACAUCAUUUCCGGCGAAUCGUUCUGGAAAACACGACUCUCCUCCGCAUGCCAUAACGUUUCUACUUGACAAGUCCUUAUUCAGAAGAAUCUUCUGGAUCAACACUAAGUAGCUAAAAAAGCUUAUGGGUAACGGCUGCGUAUGAAGAUUACACUGGGGAUUUACAUAUUCAAGGACACAUUGAGGGAUGGUCAUAGAUGGGUUGGAGGUUGCUAAAGUAAUUCCAAUUGACCAUCCAAGAAUAAGACUAAGCUCAUGCACUGUCUGCAAAGUGGUUGUGGCACUUUGUGUUGCUCACCUACAAAUGCUUCAGCCGUUGAGUUGGAUGCACAGGCAAGAGCCGUGUAAGGAACAUUAUAUCUUAGAAGAUUAUACUGGGGAUUUCCAUAUUCAAACACACAUAGUGGCCGAGAUGGUUUGCUUAGCUCAUCGAAGAGACGGGGUUCUGGUCCGCAGUAAACUGUUUCCCGAGCUAGUAAGUAAAAGUCAGGUAGACCAGCUUCGGUCGUAAACUCAAAACUAGGGUCAAAAUUAGCUAGCAAGUAAAACUCAGGUAGACCAGCUUCGGAAAUAUAUAAUUGCUUACUUGCUAACACGAGGCGGACUUCCGUAAAGAUUACUGACAGCAAUGCGAUUGAACUCAUUCACUGUCUGCAAAGUGAUUGUAGCGUCUUUUGUAGCUCACCCACAAAUGUUGCACGCGUUGAUUUGGAUGCUCAGGUAGCUUAAGAGAUUCUAUAUUGCUAUGGCAAAACACA
rnacentral:lncRNA from 1 species